rnacentral:rRNA from 1 species
GUGGGGAAUAUUGGACAAUGGGCGAAAGCCUGAUCCAGCAAUGCCGCGUGAGUGAUGAAGGCCUUAGGGUUGUAAAGCUCUUUUACCCGGGAUGAUAAUGACAGUACCGGGAGAAUAAGCUCCGGCUAACUCCGUGCCAGCAGCCGCGGUAAUACGGAGGGAGCUAGCGUUGUUCGGAAUUACUGGGCGUAAAGCGCGCGUAGGCGGUUACUCAAGUCAGAGGUGAAAGCCCGGGGCUCAACCCCGGAACUGCCUUUGAAACUAGGUGACUAGAAUCUUGGAGAGGUCAGUGGAAUUCCGAGUGUAGAGGUGAAAUUCGUAGAUAUUCGGAAGAACACCAGUGGCGAAGGCGACUGACUGGACAAGUAUUGACGCUGAGGUGCGAAAGCGUGGGGAGCAAACAGGAUUAGAAACCCUUGUAGUCC